GCUGGGCGUGGUGACGCAUGCCUGUAAUCCCAACUACUUGGGAGGCUGAGGCAGAAGAAUUGCUUGCACCCAGGAGGUGGAGGUUGUAGUGAGCAGAGAUCACACCACUGCACCCCAGCCUGGGCGACAGAGCGAGACUCUGUCUCAA
rnacentral:sRNA from 1 species